GGGUGGUAAUGCCGGAUGCUCCAGUUGAUCGCAUGGUCUUCUGGGAAAGCUUUCGCGGUAUGGGAUGGGGUCGCGUCCUAUCAGCUUGACGGCGGGGUAACGGCCCACCGUGGCUUCGACGGGUAGCCGGCCUGAGAGGGCGACCGGCCACAUUGGGACUGAGAUACGGCCCAGACUCCUACGGGAGGCAGCAGUGGGGAAUAUUGCACAAUGGGCGCAAGCCUGAUGCAGCGACGCCGCGUGAGGGAUGGAGGCCUUCGGGUUGUAAACCUCUUUUAUCGGGGAGCAAGCGAGAGUGAGUUUACCCGUUGAAUAAGCACCGGCUAACUACGUGCCAGCAGCCGCGGUAAUACGUAGGGUGCAAGCGUUAUCCGGAAUUAUUGGGCGUAAAGGGCUCGUAGGCGGUUCGUCGCGUCCGGUGUGAAAGUCCAUCGCUUAACGGUGGAUCCGCGCCGGGUACGGGCGGGCUUGAGUGCGGUAGGGGAGACUGGAAUUCCCGGUGUAACGGUGGAAUGUGUAGAUAUCGGAAAAGAACA
rnacentral:rRNA from 1 species